rnacentral:rRNA from 1 species
GUGGAUUAGAUACCCGGGUAGUCCACGCCGUAAACGAUGAAUACUAGGUGUGGGGGUUGUCAUGACCUCCGUGCCGCCGCUAACGCAUUAAGUAUUCCGCCUGGGGAGUACGGUCGCAAGAUUAAAACUCAAAGGAAUUGACGGGGGCCCGCACAAGCAGCGGAGCAUGUGGUUUAAUUCGAAGCAACGCGAAGAACCUUACCUAGACUUGACAUCUCCUGAAUUACUCUUAAUCGAGGAAGCCCUUCGGGGCAGGAAGACAGGUGGUGCACGGUCGUCGCCAGCU